GACGGUAGAGCUCAGUGGUAGAGCACAUGCUUAGCAUGCACAAGGUCCCGGGUUCAAUCCCCAGUAUCUUCC
rnacentral:tRNA from 1 species